rnacentral:rRNA from 1 species
UAGGGAAUCUUCGGCAAUGGGGGCAACCCUGACCGAGCAACGCCGCGUGAGUGAAGAAGGUUUUCGGAUCGUAAAGCUCUGUUGUAAGAGAAGAACGUGUGUGAGAGUGGAAAGUUCACACAGUGACGGUGACUUACCAGAAAGGGACGGCUAACUACGUGCCAGCAGCCGCGGUAAUACGUAGGUCCCGAGCGUUGUCCGGAUUUAUUGGGCGUAAAGCGAGCGCAGGCGGUUUAAUAAGUCUGAAGUUAAAGGCAGUGGCUUAACCAUUGUUCGCUUUGGAAACUGUUAAACUUGAGAGCAGAAGGGGAGAGUGGAAUUCCAUGUGUAGCGGUGAAAUGCGUAGAUAUAUGGAGGAACACCGGUGGCGAAAGCGGCUCUCUGGUCUGUAACUGACGCUGAGGCUCGAAAGCGUGGGGAGCAAACAGG